GACGAACCGUGCGAACGUUGUUCGGAAUCACUGGGCUUAAAGGGCGGCGUAGGCGGCUUCCCAAGCCCGGGGUGAAAUCUUUCGGCUUAACCGGAAAAGGGCCUCGGGGACUGGGGGGCUAGAGGGAGGUAGGGGCAAGCGGAACUUCCGGUGGAGCGGUGAAAUGCGUUGAUAUCGGAAGGAACGCCGGCGGCGAAAGCGGCUGCUGGACCUCACCUGACGCUGAUGGCGCGAAAGCUAGGGAGCGAACGGG
rnacentral:rRNA from 1 species